AAAGGUACUCAAGGGCACACAACGGAUGCCUAGACGUAUAUUACCGAUGAAGGACGUGGAAGGCUGCGAAAAGCCUCGGGGAGCUGUCUACAAGCUUUGAUCCGGGGAUAUCCGAAUGGGGAAACCCAGCACGAGUCAUGUCGUGUUACCGUUACCUGAAUACAUAGGGUAAUUGAGAGGGAACCAUCUGAACUGAAACAUCUUAGUAGGAUGAGGAAAAGAAAAUAAAUAAUGAUCCUGGGAGUAGUGGCGAGCGAAACUGGGAGAGCCCAAACCUUAUCAUGCUCCAGCUGUAUCUCACUGUGUUCGAUACGCUAGAGCAGAGUCAAGAGUUAUGAUUCAAGAGUUAUGAGUAGUUGCGGAAAUUAUUUUGCGAUUAUUCUUAUCUCGUGUCUCUUAUCUCAUGUCUCUGCAUUAGCCUCGAGCGUGGCGAGAUACAGCCGGUACGGCUGUUAGGCUAAUGCAUAUAGGGUGUUGUGAGUUUACAAAUGACCAAGUCAGAGAUUUUAACUUCGGUUAAAUCCUCUGAUUUGCGAUCGACAGCUAACACUGAGCGAGUAAGGUAAAAAAUCCGCGUUGCUAGCAGAAUAGUUUGAAUGACUAGCCAAAGGGCGUGAAAGCCGUGUACGCGAAAGCGACGCUGACCUUAUGUUUGUUUUCUCGAGUAAGUCGGGACACGAGAAAUCCUGAUUGAAUCCGGCAGGACCACCUGCCAAGGCUAAAUAUAAUAUACGAUCGAUAGUGAACAAGUACAGUGAUGGAAAGGUGAAAAGAACCCCGGGAGGGGAGUGAAAUAGAUCCUGAAAUUGUGUGCCUACAAGGAGUCGGAGCCCCUCACCAUUCUUAUCGACAUGUAUACUGAGCUAAAGUAGCCGGUAUGUUUUAUGUUUAUCUCGUUCGUAGCAAUCAGCUUGACCAAUAUUAUAUUGGCCAGACUAAUGACCUGCGAAAACGGAUAGAGCAACAUAAAACAGGCCAAUCAAUCUAUACCAGUCGCGUAGACGAUUGGGAGUUGAUUUACUACGAAGCGUAUACAUCACGAAGCUUAGCAAUGUUACGAGAACGUGCACUCAAACCGAGAGCAAAAGCGUUCCGUGAAUUGCUGAAGCGAGUUGUCGAUAAAGAUGGUGAGGGGUGACGGCGUGCUUUUUGUAGAACGAUCCAGCGAGUUACUUUUAUCAGCGAGGUUAAGUCAAGUGACGGAGCCAUAGUGAAAGCGAGGGUUAAUAACCCGAUUUAGUUGAUAGGAGUAGACCCGAAACCGGGUGACCUAACCAUGGGCAGGUUGAAGCUGCGGUAAAGCGCAGUGAAGGACCGAACCGUAGCAUGUUUCAAAAUGCCCGGAUGACCUGUGGUUAGAGGUGAAAUGCCAAUCGAACUCGGAGAUAGCUGGUUCUCCUCGAAAUAGCUUUAGGGCUAGCGUCAUGUAGUAGCAGUCGGGGGUAGAGCUCUGUAAAGGACUGGGGGGAGCAAUCCUACCCACCCUUAACAAACUACGAAUACCGUCUGUGUAAUCAUGGCAGUCAGAACGUCGGGGCUAAGCUCGGCGCUCGAAAGGGAAACAGCCCAGACCAUCGUCUAAGGUCCCUAAAUAUACGUUAAGUGGGAAACAAGGUGAGAUUUCUUAAACAGCUAGGAUGUUGGCUUAGAAGCAGCCAUUCAUUUAAAGAGUGCGUAACAGCUCACUAGUCAAGAGAUCUUGCGUGGAAAAUGUAACGGGGCUCAAACGUAUUACCGAAGACAUGGAUGUCGUGUAUAAGACCAAAUCUGUGGUUCUUAUUAUUUUGCGAUUCUCAACUAUUGAUACGCAAUUUUCGGCGAAUUUAUUUCGCGAACAUUGUGGCAUCUCAGGGAAAAAGAGCAGCGAAGCGAUGAGAAAAAACCGUAGGUUUUGUCUUAUACACGGCGUGGUAGAGGAGCGUUCCUAUCUGCAGUGAAGCAGUUUUGGAAAGAACUGUGGAGCGUUAGGAAGUGAGAAUGCUGGAAUGAGUAACCAUAAGAGGGGUGAGAAUCCCCUCGGCCGAAAGAGCAAGGUUUCCUGAGCGAUGGUAAUCAUCUCAGGGUUAGUCGGGCCUAAGCCGAGGCGUGUAGCGUAGGCGAUGGACAUCAGGUUUAUAUUCCUGGACCGGUUAAGUUUUGUACACUGUUCACGGCGAGAGAGUCAGAGCGGAUUCAUGGUAUAUAUCCGUCCAACCGAGCGGGAACGCAAAGGGAGUGAAAGUGGUUCUUCGGAACCGCGAUUCUGGUGAUAGCGCUGGCUAGAAAAGCAGAUGUACGCGUGGACUUAGCCGCCCGUACCGCAAACCGACACAGGUGCUCGAGUCGAGAAGACUAAGGCUUACGAGAGACCCUUUGCUAAGGAACUCGGCAAUACAGCGACCGUAACUUCGGGAUAAGGUCUGCCCCCUCACACUGUAUUUAACAGUGAGAGGUGCCGUUUUCUAAAGUCGAAGAUUAUGGUUGAGUACCUAAUAACCUUUUUAAGGUAACAAUCGAAAUCAAUUUGUUGAGAAAAGUGACAACUAGAAAACGUGCUCACUUACGCUUAGUUUAAUUUCUAAAGAUGUUAAAUCUAGUGUGAGGGGGCCGCAGCUAAAGAGCCCACGGAACUGUUUAUCAAAAACACAGGUCUCUGCUAACACGAAAGUGGAUGUAUAGGGGCUGACUCCUGCCCGGUGCUGGAAGGUUAAGGGGAGUGCUUCACGGUGCGAACUGAAGCCCCAGUGAACGGCGGCGGUAACUAUAACCGUCCUAAGGUAGCGAAAUUCCUUGUCAGGUAAUGAAUUUGCCUGAGUGUCAAGGUGACUUGACACAAGCAACCCAACUAAUAACGGGGAAAUCUACUGUUGCGCUAUGCAACUAUGACAAUCCCGUGGCAAUCUAUCCUCAAAGAUAGGAAGCCGUAACGACUGAUCCGAAAGGAGAGGUACAUAUGAAACACGAUGUACAAGAUGUUGGCUCUCGCGAGGUAAAACGCAGUUUCACGGAUGAGGCUUGGUAUGUCACUGGUUUCACGGAUGGAGAAGGAUGUUUUUCGAUCUCAUACACGAUGCGCGCCAAAAUGCGUACGGGUAUUGAGAUCAGGCCGAGUUUUUCAAUCGGCCAAAACAAACGCAGCCUUCAGGUUUUGCAAGAUAUCAAAACCUAUUUCGGAUGUGGGGCGAUUCGUUUUUCUAAGAGUGAUCAACUUUAUAAGUAUGAAGUUCGUUCAAUCAAAGAUUUGCGUUCGCGUAUAAUCCCGCAUUUUCAGAAAUAUCCACUGAAAACCAGCAAACAAGUCGACUUUGCCACCUUUGCGUGGAUAUGUGACGAAAUAGCCGCUAUGCGGCAUCUUUCGCCAGUAUAUCUGCGUGAGAUCAUCGAGCGCUCAUCGCUCAUGAAUGAAGCUGGCAAGCGACGAUACGACAAGCUAACACUCCUAAAAAUACUGUCGCGAGAUGAAGAUAUAGUCUGAUCUGUCGUGAAAACGACAGCUAACAACGUAUGAAGUUCUGACCCGCACGAAUGGAGUAAUCAUGUGGGCACUGUCUCAGCAAAGGACUCGGUGAAAGUGCAUUGGCGGUAAAGAUGCCGUCUGUCCGCACCAGGACGAAAAGACCCCGUGCAGCUUUACUACAGCUUUGCAUUGUUCCGGGUUACAACAUGUGUAGCAUAGGUGGGAGCCUUUGAAGCGGAUACGCUAGUAUUCGUGGAGGCACAGGUGAAAUACCACCCUUGUUGUGAUCUUGAGCUAACCUUGACCGUUAUCCGGUUAGGGAACAGUGCAUGGUGGGUAGUUUAACUGGGGCGGUUGCCUCCCAAAGAGUAGCGGAGGCGUUCAAAGGUUGGCUAGCUUCGGAUGGAAAUCGAAGUGAUAGUGUAUACGCAUAAGCCAGCUUGACUGUGAGGAUUACAAUCCAAUCAGAUACGAAAGUAGGAGUAAGUGAUCCGCUAGACGUACAAUUGUACAUGAAUGUGGGAUCGCUAGCGCAAACGGAUAAAAGUUACGCCGGGGAUAACAGGCUUAUCGCGCCCAAUAGUUCACAUAGACGGCGCGGUUUGGCACCUCGAUGUCGGCUCAUCACAUCCUGGAGGGGGAGCACCUUCCAAGGGUUCGGCUGUUCGCCGAUUAAAGUGGUACGCGAGCUGGGUUCAGAACGUCGUGAGACAGUUCGGUUUAUAUCCGGUGUGGACGUUAGGAAAUUUGAGAGGAUCUGCCCCUAGUACGAGAGGACCGGGGUGGACGCACCUCUGGUGUAUCGAUUGUCGCCACCUGCGGCAUUGUCGAGUAGCUAUGUGCGGUCUAGAUAAGCGCUGAAAGCAUAUUAAGCGCGAAACUAACCUCAAGAUGAGAUUUCCCUAUGAGGACCCAGAAAGAUGAUCUGGUUGAUAGGCGCAAGGUGGAAGCACGGUAACGUGUGGAGCUGAAGCGUACUAAUAGUCCCAUCGCCUUUUUAUG
rnacentral:rRNA from 1 species